UUGCUAUUGCAGCAUAUAUACUAAAAUUAGAAUGAUACAGAGAAGAUUAACAUGGGCCCUGUGCAAGUAUAACACUCAAAUUUGUGAAGUGUGUUAUAUUUAA